rnacentral:rRNA from 1 species
GUUUGAGAGAAGGGAUGACACAGUAGGAUAAGCUAAGCACACUGUUGGUUAUGUGUGCCCAAGCAUUGAGGCAGUCAAAGUAGGCAAAUCCGCUUUGAUAAUGCUGGGGUGUGAUGGGGAGCGAAAUGUAGUAGCGAAGUAGCUGAUUUCACACUGUCAAGAAAAGUCUCUAUCGAGGUUAAAGGUACCCGUACCGCAAACC